UGUACAGAGAUGAUUUAUUAUGGUGUAUACUAAUUCUUUGUAAAGAUUGAGUUGUGAAAAAGCCCUCACAAGUACCUUUUAAUCUCUGAAGUCCUCUGCAGUGAUAAAAUUGAGAUGAAGUUCCAACAUCCUUUUGAAAUUACAAAACUCCUUACAGGAAAAAUUUUAAAUUUGACAGAGGUCUUUAUUUGUGAAAAUGAAGAUGCGCUCAAAGGAUUGUUGCUUACUAUUAUUACUAUUAUUAGUAUAAAAUCUGCAAAUUUAGGAUCAGUGGUUUAAGUUAGUGUUUGUUUGUUUGUUUAUUUUUUCCCCUGGAGAGGUUCUCUGUUCUUAUUUAGCAGAAUCUGAACUUACUCAUACUUUUCCCCCUCUGCUCUUAGUUUAGCUUCUGUUUCCUCCGUGUCUUUGUCACAAACGGAAAGACUGACCAACUUAUAGGGUGGCCAGAGGAAUCCCCAUCUUUUCCCCUUCUAGUUUAUUCAGAUUGUGAAGAGAUGUUAAUCUGACAGUCCUUACCAACAAAUUAUCGUCAGUAAGAUACACAAAAGGCAGGCAUACCACCCUUAUGAAGCUUUUAAUCUUGGGAAUGAAUGGAGUCUCUGCAUAACACAUGUUCAUUCUACUAGAGAACAAUGGCUCCCAGAUAUUGCAAAUCCAUGGACCAGUAACAUUUCAAAAAAUUGAGACUUGCCAACUUUUCAUUUUGCCAAAAAUCAAAAGCCACUCUACCUACUAUCUAAUACCACCAUCAUUCCAUAAAAGAGAGGACUUUUUGGGCACAAAUAUAGGUAGGCAUCUCUAAAUAAGUAAAUAAAUGGAAAAGAUAAAUUUAACUUCAUGGAAGGAUUCACAGUUGUUCUUGUUUUUCCCAUAUCUCCAUUAACUGGUGGGAACUUUGGCACGGAUGAGGUUCUGUAGCAGGGUAACUGCGGAUGUGGACUUUACUCACAUAUCCUGUGCUUGUAUGUCUGACAUUGGUUUCAGUCGUUCUGAGGAUAUUUCACAAAAACACUGGAGCAAUAUGACCACUGGACCAUGAGUGUGUGAUGAAAUAUUGUUUCAUGCCCAUGUGUGUGUGUGUGUGUGUGUUUAUUAAGUAAGCUCUACGCCCAUCGUGGGGCUUGUACUCAUGACCCAGAGAUCAAGAGUUGCGUGUUCUACCGACUGAGCCAGUCAGGCACCCCUGUGUUUUCUCUUUUAAAUAAAAAUUUAGCUUUGGUGGGCACCUGGGUGGCUCAGUUGGUUAAGCGACUGCCUUCAGCUCAGGUCAUGAUCCUGGAGUCCCUGGAUCGAGUCCCGCAUCGGGCUCCCUGCUCAGCGGGAAGCCUGCUUCUCCCUCUCCCACUCCCCCGCUUGUGUUCCCUCUCUCGCUGUGUCUUUCUCUGUCAAAUAAAUAAAUAAAAUCUUAAAAAAAAAAUUAGCUUUGGAGAAUUAGAGCAACUGAAUUUCCUGAAGCUGUUUAUAUUAUUGUGUCAAUUAUGGAAGUAUAGGAUAUUACAUUAAAAAUAUUUGAGAAAGUAUUGGGCGCCUGAGUGGGUCAGUUGGUUAAGAGUCUGCCUUCAGCUCAUGUCAUGAUCCCAGGAUCCUGGGAUUGAGUCCCAGGUCUGACUCCCUGCUCAGUGGGGAGCCUGCUUCUCCCUCUCCCACUGCCCCUCCCCAGCUCAUGCUCACCCUCUUUCUCUCUCUCAAAUAAAUAAAUAAAAAAUCUUUAAAAAAAUAUCUGAGAAAGUAUCAUUAGUGUUAUACUGACACUCCUGAGAAAGGCAAAGGGAUUGACAUUCAAGUCAAGCCUCCUGUCACAUUUCCAAAAUCUGGCCAAAUUAUAUUUAAGAGCAAGAUCUCAUCUAUAUACUGAUUUACCCACUGAGGUUUCAUUCAGCAAUGUCCAUGUGCCAGUGUUUGGGACCAGUGUUGGGUUGCAAAGAAGAGGGUGUAAUCUGUGAGGGAACUACCUUUUUUGAAGCAAUAGUUUGGUCAGGGAACUCUGUUAAUAAUUAAACUGGUUACUGGCUGGUGGAAAGUGUAAGAUGUUAGCAAUAUGCUUUCCUAAUUCUAGAACAAACCUGUAUUUCUCCAGAAAUAUAAAUAUUUGGAACAAGCAGAGGGCUUGUAGGUUAUCAGGCUUCUUUGCCAGUUGGUACUCUGUUCCUCCUGGACAUUGACUUUUUUCUUUUCUUUUCUUUUCUUUUUGCAGUGACUCUGUUGCAUUUUCUUAAAUAGUCUUGUCUCAUGUACAAUUUUAUCACCAUUGGAAAAUCUGUUUCCUGACAUGACUCUGAAUUUGCAUUUCUUUCAUUUUCAAUGUAUUUCUCACUUAGGAUCCAUUGCCAUAUUUGCUACUGAAAUUCGUUUUUUAAGACAGCUUGUGUGUGUGUAUGCAUGUGUGUGUGUGUGUGUGUUAGUACAUACUAAGUUUGGUACACAUAUGAAUGUGGGUUUUUCUGGGAUGACAUAGUACAUGCAUAUAAAAAUACGGAAAGCUAAGAUAUUGUUUGUAUUUUUGUAGAAGUUUAGAUACCUUGUUAAACAGGCUAGUGAGUCCAAUUACAGAAGAUGAGGAAACAAAACACUUUUGAAACAGGGAUGUAGAAAUGUCUUUUGGUUAUUCUGUUUGACAUAUGGAGGUGGUUUUUUAGUAUUUUAUGGUGAUAAUCUUGCUACUCUAAUGGCCAUGCUGCCAUUCUGUUCUUUUUAGAAAAAAAAAUGAGAAGGCCAAGACAAAAUUAUGCUGAGAAAUGACUUUCAGGCCCCACCUGGCCACUCUUUGAGUCAGGUUUGCCCAGGAGUAGGCAAGGUAUGAGGAACUUCUAGCCUGUCUUCUCGAGUUUUGUAAGAGAGAGGGGCCUGGUGAUGUCUGCAUCGUGAUGUCCCACAGUAGUUUAACCAGGAACCAUGGCAAAGGAUACUCAAUAGUUCCUAGAUCCAGCAUGCUCGAAGCCUGUUGAAUAGCACUUUUAAAAAAGAUUUUAUUUGUUUAUUUGAGAGAGAGAGAGAGUGAGCAUGAGCAGUGGGGUGGGGAGAGGAGCAGAGCCAAAGGGAGAAGCAGACUCCCCGCUGAGCAGGGACCCUGACUCAGGGCUCUAUCCCAGGACCCUGGGAUCAUGACUUGAGCCAAAGGCAGAUGCUUCACCAACUGAGCCGCCCAGGCAUCCUGAAUAUCAGUAUUUUGAAAGAAUUUAGCCCUAUGUUUAACUUUGAGUUCAGUCUCAGAUUUGUUACAUAUAAAAUUUAAUUGACUCAUACAUAGGAGCAGAGAUUAGUUUUUUUCAAAUUGAAUUUUGAUUUGAAAAAGAUCAGAUCCAGGGUGCCUGGGUGGCUCAGUUGGUUAAGCGACUGCCUUCAGCUCAGGUCAUGAUCCCAGCGUCCUGGGAUCGAGUCCCAUAUCGGGCUCCCUGCUCUGCGGGGAGCCUGCUUCUCCCUCUCCCACUCCCCCUGCUUGUGUUCCCUCUCUCGCUGUGUCUCUCUCUGUCAAAUAAAUAAAUAAAAUCUUUAAAAAAAAAAAAAGAUCAGAUCCAAUCAAUUUCCUUCUAUCUUCCCUGGCUCCAGCUCAAAAAAAAAAGGUCAUUCAAUGGCGCAUAGUUCCCCAAAUUGUGGCGAGCAUGCCACUGUUGAUAGGUAGGGUGAUUCAUUCCAGGUGGUAUAUCCACAUGUGGCACAUCCAGUCAUCAAAUAAAACUAUAACACAGGAGACAAAUAGGAUUCCCAUGUCAGUGCUCUUUCAGUCCUCCUGUUUACAUCAAGAGAAAAGUUGGUGCACGAAGGUCUUUAAUACCCCUCUAACUUCGCAAGCCCUCCUUACAAGGAAGAGUCAGGCCCCAGGAUCAGAGCUUUGGAUGGGUCACACUCUUCAGCUAGAAUUUAUUUUUGUAGUUGCCUUCUGCUUAUGGCAAAUGAUAAUUAUUUUCUAUUAAUAAUAGCAUUAUAAAAUUUUUAUUUUAUUUUAUUAUUUUUAAGUAAGCUCCAUGCCCAACAUAGGGCUUGAACUCACAACCCUGAGAUCAGGAGUUGCAUGCUGUACUGUCUGAGCCAGCUGGGUGCCCCAUAAAUUAUUUUAUUUUAUUUAUUUAUUAUUAUUAUUUUUAAGUAAGCUCCAUGCCCAGGGUGGAGCUUGAACUCACGACCCUGAGAUUAAGAGUUGCAUGCUCUACUGACUGGUACAACCAGAUGCCCCUAAUUAGGGAAAAGUAUUAAAUGGAAUAUAGCUCUGAUGGCACGUGGUCUGGCAAAAGUUGUGAAGGUGAUACAUGAAAGACAGCCUUGUAAAUACUUGUGCUCACAUAUCCGUCUGGGUAAUUAGUAACUUUGUGAAAUUAUUUCAUCUUUGAGCUUUUGUUGUCUUCAUCUCAAAAUGGCAAUAACAUCCAAUGUAUGUAAAUUAUGUAGUACAGUGCUUUAAAAAGUGAAUGUACCCUAAAAUGUAACUCCUCCCCAGCUAACUAAAAUUCUUCAAGACUUCAUCAUUUAUAUCCGAUUUCCUCCACAGAUCAGUCUCGAGCCAUCUCCCUACAGUGUGGUAUCAAUAAUUGGAAAUCACCGGGCCUCCACCUCUUUAUAAUUGAUUUGCUUCCCUUUCGUCCUUGUAGGAUUUAUAAAGCACUUAAGUCUCCCGAUGCAUCUUGUGAUACUGAAGCUAUAUAAGAUCUGAAGUCUGUAAGACUACAAAUAUCAAAGCUGAAAUUAUCUCCUGAUCAUAUUUUUUCCUUUUGAUAUUCACAGAAUGGCUCUGGGAUUUCUGGGACAUCUGGGUAUUUAGAGGUAGCCAACUUAAUGGUAUACCUUUCCUCAUUUGCAUCUUCAUUAGUGCAUCCACACUGGCGUUGUGGAAGACACGUGGAUUACAUUUACAAUUUACAUGGCCAUAUGCUAUGAUUCCAUUUUUUAAUUCUAUUUGUGGAAUGAAGUUUUUAUGGAAAACAUUUUGCUAUAGAGUUGUGAAUGUACUUAGGAAGAUCCAUGUUGUACAUCACGACAGCUCUUCCCUAUCAUCACCGCAUGCACUCGUCUCUUAUUUGAAGUGCCUUCUUUAGCAUCUGGCCAUAUAUAUCCAUUUUUGGUAUGAUCACUCAUGAAACAAUGGCUAGUCCACCUGUAUAUAUUUGAAUGAUGGCACAUCUGAUUAAGUAGACAUCCCUAUUACAGUGUCAUAUGCUCAAAUAAAUCUCCCAGUGUCCAUUUCAACAUAAUGCAAUAAACUCACUUUCCUAGCAAACCCAGAAAUUGCAAGCCAAGCCCCAUGUGGACCCAAGAGUCUGUUAAUUCCACAUAUGGCCAAUUCCCUGAAGGAAGAUGUUUAAAUACAGUCUUUUUUUUUUUUAAGUGUGUUAGCUAACAGAAAAUUUAAUUCAUAUGCUAAAGUGCGUCAGGCAGCUGAGUUGCAGCGUUCAGUUCAUCAUUAUCUUGAAUUGUGGGUUUAAUCAAGUUCCUUCACUUAAUUUGAAUGUUUGUGUUCAAAACCUAGCAUCCUGCUUUAAGGAAAAUGCUCACCUUUUAUUUCUUUUGGAUAGUCCCCCGCUUUGCGAAAUCUGAUGAAGACAGCUAAUGAAGUGAAUCUAAUUUGGGUGGUUGAACACGAGGAGGAAUCAGGGAGACUGCAGAGUGUUGCUUUCAUUAAAAUAGCUUUGUCCAAGAAGACAUUUUCACUGUACUUUUGCAUCCGUUCCCGUGCUGUUUCCAUUUUGCUUUGCUUAAAUUAAAAAGGAAGGUUAUUAAAAUGAAAACUUGGUUUUAGAAAUAGAGAUCUGUAGGAUCAAGUCAGUGGGUCGGGCUGAGUGCUGUGUUGACAGAUUUUGUGUGUUUGUCCCAGGAUGGGAGAGCAGUUUGGUUUACCCUCUUGGAUACAAAGCCAGCACAUGUAAUGGAGUUUAUUUGUUCGGAGCUGGGCAGCAGGUGUAAUAAAAUUAUGCACUGUGUUUGUGUGACCCUGCCUUUCAUAUCCCUGUAGUUGCUCAUUCAUUCAUUUUUCAGAUGUAAAUUAAAA